rnacentral:rRNA from 1 species
GACGAAGGUGGCGAGCGUUGUUCGGAAUCACUGGGCAUAAAGCGCACGUAGGCGGUGCCGUAAGUCGGAUGUGAAAUUCCUCGGCCUAACCGAGGAACUGCGUCCGAUACUGCGGUGCUUGAGGAUCAGAGGGGUGCAUGGAAUUUCCGGUGGAGCGGUGAAAUGCGUUGAUAUCGGAAGGAACUCCGGCGGCGAAAGCGAUGCACUGGCUGAUUUCUGACGCUGAGGUGCGAAAGCCAGGGGAGCAAACGGG